rnacentral:misc_RNA from 1 species
AACGCAAAUUGCACUCUCUGGUAUUCCGGAGAGUAUGCCUGUUUGAGGGUUGGUUUAAAUAACAAUCGAUAUGUUGCUUUCUUGUGACAUUUCGGAGUUGGGUCAUCUUAAUCUUACUUUAAGGGACCUAAAAUUGAUGUUCUUGUGCAUCUCGAUAUGUAUAAUUUUUUUUAUCUUUGUCACUGGAUGCCAGGUAUUAUUAGGUGUGGCUAUGUUAAGUGGUUUCAUACCUAUAGGAAACUUUGAUUUCAACCUCAAAUCAGGUAGGGAUACCCGCUGAACUUAA